rnacentral:lncRNA from 1 species
CCUGGCGUCAUAACGGCCAAGGCCGGGCCACCCUGGCUGGAGGGCGCACGGGAGGGGCGCAACGUGACGUUUGGGAGUACAGAGCCAGGGAGAGGGGGCCAAGUCAGGGGCCGCCGCACAGUAUAGGACGUGAGGAAGGAGGAGCCCGCUGCCCCGCUCCCCUACCUCAGCGUCGGGUCUACCCUGCCCACCUUCACCAUGUCACAGCAAGAUGCGCCCCCUUUGGCCCAGCCCCCAGGUGACACACGGCCCGGAACUUUGACCCGCCUUGUGCAAAUGACUUGCUGAUUUUAUCUUCAAAACGUGUUUGGAAUCCCACCACUUUGUCUCUCCAUGCCACCACCCUCGAGGCCCACAGCUGCUCUAGCCUGGAUCGUGGCGACCAUCUCGCAGCUGGCCGCCCUGCUUCUCCUGUGCAGGGCAAGCCUUUCCAAGCCAGGCCACCUCACGCCUCACCAUGGGGCCUUUGCCAUGGAGCCUCCCUCUUCCUUAUCUUGCCCCCGAGCCCCUGGCUGUUGCCUGACGCCCCUUCUCUCGUCGCUCACUCUCUGGUGCCUCCCUAGUAGCCACACUGGCCCCCUUGCUGCAGCCCCGAGCCCGGUGCACAGCCUGCUCAGUCCUCUAGCCCCCUUGCUGCUGGCCCGAGCCCGGUGCACAGCCUGCUCAGUCCUCUGGCCCCCUUGCUGCAGCCCCGAGCCCGGUGUACAGCCUGC